GUGGAAGUAUUCUUGAUCUGCAGUUAGAUGAUUCCAAAUUUUCAAAACCCCAUCAGAUUCGUGAUCAAAUUUUACAAACAUGCAAUAGAAAGAAAAAAACAGAGCAUGUACCUGGCAGAGAAGAAAGGAGAAGGAAGAAGUAGAAGAGCAGCAAGACCAUAACUAUAAACAACAAAAACAUGAUUACUCAUGCCUUUGUUAGUAGCAGCUUUGUAAAGUGUAUUUAAUCCAACAUUUAUACAUUCCAUAGUCACCAUAGCUGUAAAUGGUAGCACUUCUUUGUAAAAAGUUGUCUCUCUGUUGUUAUUGCUUCCCAUUUUUGCUUCAAAAACUUCAACUUUUUGUGUUUCCCAAAUAUCAAUUUCUACGCGUGGCGGACAUGAGCUCUA
rnacentral:lncRNA from 1 species